rnacentral:lncRNA from 1 species
UAUUCCUGCAAUCCUGCUUUACUCUGUUUUAUAUUCCCUAUGGGUGCCGUAUCUAUGUUAUGUCAUCUGCUGCUGUGCUGUACUAUGUGUUUGUGUGAUAUCUCGUGACUUGAGCCGGGGGUCUUUCGGAAACAACCUUUCUACUUCAUCAGAGGUAGAGGUAUGGACUGCGUAUAUCUUACCCCCCCAGACCCCACUAAGUGGGA